UGCAAGUCGAGGGGCAGCGGGAGUAGCAAUACUUGCCGGCGACCGGCGCACGGGUGCGUAACACGUAUAUAAUCUACCUGAAACUGGAGGAUAGCCCGAAGAAAUUCGGAUUAAUACUCCAUAACAUUGCGAGAUGGCAUCAUUUUGCAAUUAAAGCUCCGGCGGUUUCGGAUGAGUAUGCGUUCGAUUAGCUAGUUGGUGAGGUAACGGCUCACCAAGGCGACGAUCGAUAGGGGUACUGAGAGGUUACACCCCCACACUGGUACUGAGACACGGACCAGACUCCUACGGGAGGCAGCAGUAAGGAAUAUUGGACAAUGGUCGCAAGACUGAUCCAGCCAUGCCGCGUGCAGGAUGACUGCCCUAUGGGUUGUAAACUGCUUUUGUACGGGAAUAAACCCCUCUACGUGUAGAGGGCUGAAUGUACCGUAAGAAUAAGGAUCGGCUAACUUCGUGCCAGCAGCCGCGGUAAGACGAAGGAUCCAAGCGUUAUCCGGAUUUAUUGGGUUUAAAGGGUGCGUAGGCGGAUUGAUAAGUCAGUGGUGAAAGCCUGUUGCUUAACAACAGAACUGCCAUUGAUACUGUCAAUCUUGAAUAUGUUUGAUGUGGGCGGAAUAUGACAUGUAGCGGUGAAAUGCUUAGAUAUGUCAUAGAACACCGAUUG
rnacentral:rRNA from 1 species